CAGCAGCCGCGGUAAUACGUAGGGUGCAAGCGUUGUCCGGAAUUACUGGGCGUAAAGAGCUCGUAGGCGGUUUGUCGCGUCGUCUGUGAAAACCAGCAGCUCAACUGUUGGCUUGCAGGCGAUACGGGCAGACUUGAGUAUUUCAGGGGAGACUGGAAUUCCUGGUGUAGCGGUGAAAUGCGCAGAUAUCAGGAGGAACACCGGUGGCGAAGGCGGGUCUCUGGGAAAUAACUGACGCUGAGGAGCGAAAGCGUGGGUAGCGAACAGGAUUAGAUACCCUGGUAGUCCACGCCGUAAACGGUGGGCGCUAGGUGUGGGUUUCCUUCCACGGGAUCCGUGCCGUAGCUAACGCAUUAAGCGCCCCGCCUGGGGAGUACGGCCGCAAGGCUAAAACUCAAAGGAAUUGACGGGGGCCCGCACAAGCGGCGGAGCAUGUGGAUUAAUUCGAUGCAACGCGAAGAACCUUACCUGGGUUUGACAUACACCGGAAAGCUGCAGAGAUGUAGCCCCCCUUGUGGUCGGUGUACAGGUGGUGCAUGGCC
rnacentral:rRNA from 1 species